GGCUCCAUACUGUAGUGAUUAGCACGUCUGCUUUACACACAGAAGGUCCUGGGUUCGCACCCCAGGUGGAGCCA
rnacentral:tRNA from 1 species